GACGAACGCUGGCGGCGUGCUUAACACAUGCAAGUCGAACGGAAAGGCCCUGCUUUUGUGGGGUGCUCGAGUGACGAACGGGUGAGUAACACGUGAGUAACCUGCCCUUGACUUUGGGAUAACUUCAGGAAACUGGGGCUAAUACCGGAUAGGAGCUCCUGCUGCAUGGUGGGGGUUGGAAAGUUUCGGCGGUUGGGGAUGGACUCGCGGCUUAUCAGCUUGUGGGUGGGGUAGUGGCUUACCAAGGCUUUGACGGGUAGCCGGCCUGAGAGGGUGACCGGCCACAGUGGGACUGAGAUACGGCCCAGACUCCUACGGGAGGCAGCAGUGGGGAAUAUUGCACAAUGGGCGGAAGCCUGAUGCAGCAACGCCGCGUGCGGGAUGACGGCCUUCGGGUUGUAAACCGCUUUCGCCUGUGACGAAGCGUGAGUGACGGUAAUGGGUAAAGAAGCACCGGCUAACUACGU
rnacentral:rRNA from 1 species